rnacentral:rRNA from 1 species
AGGGAAUAUUGCGCAAUGGGGGAAACCCUGACGCAGCGACGCCGCGUGAGUGAUGAAGGCCUUCGGGUCGUAAAGCUCUGUUGCAGGGGAAUAAAAAAAUGAAGGUACCCUGUGAGGAAGGAUCGGCUAACUUCGUGCCAGCAGCCGCGGUAAGACGAGGGAUCCUAGCGUUGCUCGGAAUCAUUGGGCGUAAAGAGGGCGUAGGUGGCUUGGUAAGUCAGGUGUGAAAGCCCAGGGCUCAACCCUGGAAGUGCAUUUGAUACUGCUGAGCUUGAGUGUCGGAGAGGUUACCGGAAUACCUGGUGUAGUGGUGAAAUACGUAGAUAUCAGGUGGAACACCGGAGGCGAAGGCGGGUAACUGGACGAACACUGACACUGAGGCCCGAAAGCGUGGGGAUCAAAC